rnacentral:rRNA from 1 species
CUCGUCACAUCCUGGGGCUGGAGAAGGUCCCAAGGGUUCGGCUGUUCGCCGAUUAAAGUGGCACGCGAGCUGGGUUCAGAACGUCGUGAGACAGUUCGGUCCCUAUCUGUUGUGGGCGUAGGAGAUUUGAGGGGACCUAACUCUAGUACGAGAGGACCGAGUUGGACAGACCGCUAGUGUGCCUGUUGUGCCGCCUAGGUGCAGCGCAGGGUAGCUAAGUCUGGAUGAGAUAAGCGCUGAAAGCAUAUAAGUGCGAAGCUCGCCUCAAGAUGAGAUCUUCCUUAAGAGCCGUCGAAGACUACGACGUUGAUAGGUCGCAGGUGUAAAGGCAGUAAUGUCAAAGCCGAGCGAUACUAAUUGCUCUUUAGUCUUUCUUU